AGCACAUCUGAGCAGGGGGUAGGGCAGAGGGAGGAGAAAGAGAGAGAAUCUUAAGCAGACUCCCUGCUGAUUAUGGAGGCCACAGUGUGACUCAAUCUCUCCACCCAGAGAUCAUGACCUGAGCAAACACCAAGAGUUAAACACUUAACUGCCUGAGCCACCUAGGAGCCCCAAGAAAUGCUUAAAAUGUUAGACAAAGAGUCAAGAGUAAGUUCAACUGGGAACCCUUUAAAGACUGUGACAGUUCCACCAGGUAGUCCCACAACUGUGGCCACACCUGAGGUGGGAGGUCUGAGAAGAUGAGCAUAGCUUCAAGCAUUGCCCGUGAGUUUGGAGGUGACUCAGUUAUUCGGAGAGAAGAGGGAAAAAAGAAGGAAAUUCUGAUAUACACUACAACAUGGAAGAACCUCAAAAACACUGUGUACUAAAUGAACAAAGCAUGUCACGAAAGGGCAAACAAAAUUCCACGAUUCCACUCGUAUGCGGUGCCUUCAGUAGUCAAACUUAGCGAGACAGAGAGUGGAGGCCAGGGGCUAAGAGAAGGAGGGAGGUGGGGGGUGGAAAGGUGGGGGUUGGCUGGUGGGGAGUAGUUUAAGGGGUCGAGAGCUAACGUUUGGGAAGAUGAAAAGAUCUGCAGAUGGAUAGUGUGACGGUUGCACAACCACGUGAGUGGGCUUCGUGGCACUACACUUAAAAAAAUGGUAGUUAUCAUGAAUGAGUAUUUUACUGCCAUUUUUUACAAAGUGCUUGAAGAGUGUAAUGAGUUUAUGUGACGUGUAAUGCCGCUAGCGUGCAGUAGGGGGCAAAGGAGCUUCAGCUUCAACCGGAAAAGCUUGAUUUCCCGUGCCCCUGCAGGCAGUCCAGCCCAGUGGAUGAACCAUUCCCGCCUACAGCCCCUCUGGACCUGUGGCAAGCCCCAGCGUGAUCCAGAUUACUUUUGCCACCAACCUGAAGACAUAUGGCCCCAUAAGGACAGAAACCAUUCUGUUCAUUUCUGUGUUUUGGACUUUCCAUGUACACAGGUAAGUCUUGUUGAAAAUCAAAUAUUAGCUCAAAGGACUCGCUAUGUCCACCAAUAUAAAAGUUAGGGAGAACAAUAUCUUGACAUUAAUUUGGGAGCCCAUAGUAUUCAGUAAUUUAAAAAAAAUUACUUCAUUGAGAACUUAAAACCUGCACAUAAAUGUUUAUAGCCGUUGUAGUCUUAACUGCCAAAACUUGGAAGCAACCAAGAUGUCCUUCAGUAGAUGAAUGGAUAAAUGAACUAUGAAACAUCCAGAUAAUGGAAUAUUAUUCUGUGCUAAAAAGAAAUGAGCUAUCAAACUAUGCGAAAACAUGGAGGAACUUUGAAUGCAUAUUAGUAAGAGAAAGAAGCUGAACUGGAAAAUCUACAUACUGUAUGUUUCCAGCUAUAUGCUAUUCUGAAAAAGACAAAACUAUGGAGACAAAAACAAUUAAAAAAAAAGACAAAACAAUCAAAAGACAAAACAAUCAAAAAAAGACAAAACAAUCAAGAUCGGUGGUUGACAGGGGUUGUGGAGCAGGGGGAAGAUGAAUAAGCAGAGGACAGAGGAAUUUUAGGGCAUGAAUGAAUGCAUGAUGAUCAAUGCAAGUCAUUAUACAUUCAUCCAAACUCACAGAAUGUCCAACACCAAGAGUGUGAACUGUAAUGUCAGUUACAGAUGUCAAGUGAUGACAAUGCAUCAAUGUAGAUCGAUCAAUUGCAACAAACGAGCAACGCUGAUGGGGCAUGUUGAUAAUGGGGGAGGCCAGGCAUGCGUGGAGGUAGGGGGAUAUGGAAAGUCUCUGUACCUUCCCCUUUCCCUCAAUUUUGCUGUGAGCCUUAAGCUUCUCUAAAAGAGUAAAGUCUUAAAAUCUUUUACUUUCAGUUUUCUUAAAGCCCUCAGGCUAUCAAAAUGGCAUGGAAGGGAGAGUGUUGAAUAUGACCUGGCAAUGAAAUUCCUAAGUUGAACUGGGAAAAAGGCACUUCUGCCAACUAUUAUAUAUUUAUCUCCCUUGUGGGACUCCUGACUUGCCUCAGCGAUGAGGAUAUGGCACAGUAACUGGCUUGGAAAUCUAAAACCCAAGCUCUCAGAUCAAGUCAAAGACUCAAUGCAGUCAAUGUAGG
ensembl:lincRNA